GAAAUUGAAAUCGCUGUGAAGAUGCAGUGUACCCGCGGCUAGACGGAAAGACCCCGUGAACCUUUACUACAGCUUGGCACUGAACAUUGACCCUACAUGUGUAGGAUAGGUGGGAGGCUUUGAAGCACGUACGCCAGUAUGUGUGGAGUCGUCCUUGAAAUACCACCCUUGUAGUGUUGAUGUUCUAACGUCGACCCCUUAUCGGGGUUGCGGACAGUGCCUGGUGGGUAGUUUGACUGGGGCGGUCUCCUCCCAAAGAGUAACGGAGGAGCACGAAGGUGGGCUAAUCACGGUUGGACAUCGUGAGGUUAGUGCAAUGGCAUAAGC
rnacentral:rRNA from 1 species